rnacentral:rRNA from 1 species
AAUGGGCGAAAGCCUGACGCAGCGAUGCCGCGUGAGCGAUGAAGGCCCUCGGGUUGUAAAGCUCUGUGGAUGGAGACGAAAAGCUGUAGUUAAUACCUGCAGUGAUGACGGUAUCCAUUUAGCAAGCACCGGCUAACUCUGUGCCAGCAGCCGCGGUAAGACAGAGGGUGCAAACGUUGUUCGGAAUUACUGGGCGUAAAGCGCGUGUAGGCGGCUCUGUAAGUCGGAUGUGAAAUCCCGUGGCUCAACCACGGAAGUGCACCCGAAACUGCAGGGCUAGAGUAUCGGAGAGGAAGGUGGAAUGCUUGGUGUAGAGGUGAAAUUCGUAGAUAUCAAGCGGAGCACCGGUGGCGAAGGCGGCCUUCUGGACGAUUACUGACGCUGAGACGCGAAAGCGUGGGUAGCAAACAGGAUU